AUUUUGACCGUGCAAAGGUAGCAUAGUCAUUAGCUUUUUAAUUGAAAGCUGGAAUGAACGGCUAGAUGAGAAAUAAACUGUCUUUUCUUAUUUUGUAGAAAUUAACUUUUAAGUGAAAAGGCUUAAAUUUUAUGAAGGGACGAUAAGACCCUGUAAAACUUAUAUAUUUGUUUUUAAUAAAUUUUAAAGUUAAAUAAGGUAUAAAUUGUUUAUUAAUACUAAUAUUUUGUUGGGGAGACAAAGAUAUAAUUUUUAACUGUCUAUUUAAAUCUUAUAUUCAUCUAUAUUUUAAGAUCCUUUAUUAAGGAGUAUAAGAAAAAGUUACUUCAGGGAUAACAGCGUAAUUUUCUCUCAGAGUUCUUAUCGACGAGAAUAGUUGCGACCUCGAUGUUGAAUUAAGGUUUCAGAAAGGUGC
rnacentral:rRNA from 1 species